rnacentral:misc_RNA from 1 species
CCCAUUGAAUUUGCUGUGGUCGGUAAGUGUUUAAUCAUUAGUUGCUCAUCAAUUAUUUAGCUGUUUAUUUCUAAUUGGUGCUUUAAGUUUAAGCAACAGCCCAACAAAGGCGAAGAAAGAAAAGUGUACAGUAAUAAUUUGGAAUUCUUGGCGUCUACAACUAGUGUUCUAUAUCUUUUUCUUUUGUUCAUUUGCUUUUUAGCAGACAUCAGGCAAGCAGAGGCUGGAGGCCUCUGCAAAUUAUUAGACUAAAUUUUAGUACUUUAGCACUAUGUUUCAUAUAUUUUAUGAAUCAAUCACUUUCAAAUUAAUUUUCUGUUUAAAUAAUAAUAAUAUGUAAAAGAAAAUUAAAAAGUAAUAAAUAAGUUUAAGGUUUAAAUAUAAUGGUCGUUUUCUCAUUUUAGAUGUCAAGUAAAUAUUCAGAGUUUUAGAUCACAAAAGUUGACUAUUAAAUUAAUUAGUUCAGGUUUCAAAUCAAAAGACAACCUACCAGCCUUCUUCUUUUAGGGACAAGUUACCUUAUAAUGAAGGGAGCAAUUCCCCCCUCUUAUUGUUUUUUUAAAUUAUUACUUUAAAAAUAUUAUAUUUAGAAAUUUCAUCUCUUAAAAUUUAAUAUUUCCCCUUAAAAUUUAAUAGUUGCUACCUCUAAAUUUUAACUUAAGUAAAAGGAUCAAGAAAUAUUUUAGUUUUUGUCCUCUUUAUACUUUUAAAAAAAUGACAAAAUAAAAUUAAUUGUAUUUCAUUUAUUUUUUUAAUCACAAUUCAUGGAAAAAGAAAACAAAAGAGUUGA